GAUGAACGCUAGCGGCAGGCUUAAUACAUGCAAGUCGAGGGGUAGCAAGAUUGUAGCAAUACAAUUGUUGACGACCGGCAAACGGGUGCGGAACACGUACACAACCUUCCUACAAGUGGGGAAUAGCCCAGAGAAAUUUGGAUUAAUACCCCGUAACAUAGCGAUGUGGCAUCACAUUGCUAUUAUAGCUUCGGCGCUUGUUGAUGGGUGUGCGGCUGAUUAGAUAGUUGGCGGGGUAACGGCCCACCAAGUCUACGAUCAGUAGCUGAUGUGAGAGCAUGAUCAGCCAAACGGGCACUGAGACACGGGCCCGAAUCCUACGGGAGGCAGCAGUAAGGAAUAUUGGACAAUGGACGCAAGUCUGAACCAGCCAUGCCGCGUGGAGGAUGAAGGUCCUCUGGAUUGUAAACUUCUUUUAUAAGGGACGAAAAAAGGUCUUUCUAGAUCGUCUGACGGUACCUUAUGAAUAAGCACCGGCUAACUCCGUGCCAGCAGCCGCCGUAACAC
rnacentral:rRNA from 1 species